GCCCGCUUGGCUUAGGGGUAAAGCGUGCCACUCGUAUUAAUCAUACGUAAUGGUAAGAUCAGUCGUUCGAAUCGGCUAGUGGGCA
rnacentral:tRNA from 2 species